rnacentral:rRNA from 1 species
UACGUAGGAUCCAAGCGUUAUCCGGAUUCAUUGGGUUUAAAGGGUGCGUAGGCGGAAUGAUAAGUCAGUGGUGAAAUCCUGCAGCUUAACUGCAGAACUGCCAUUGAUACUGUCAAUCUUGAGUAUAUUUGAUGUGGGCGGAAUGUGUCAUGUAGCGGUGAAAUGCGUAGAUAUGAGGCAGAACACCGAUUGCGAAGGCAGCUCACAAAACUAUAACUGACGCUGAGGCACGAAAGCGUGGGUAGCAAACAGG